CCGGCAACCAGGAGCCACGCACCGGUCCCCUUGGGUGUGUGCAGGAUGCUCCUGACCUCUGCCCACUGCUGCUGCUGCAUCGCUGGAGGAAACAUCUUCCAUCAAACAGGAGGCGUUUCAGCGAGGAUGUUCACUCCACACAUGUGCAGGAAAAAGCAAAACAGAGCGUGCCGUAACGACGUUGCUGGUGAAGAAAUGUGCCUUUCGCACAUGAGGCUCGGGAACCAGGUGUGCCAGGAGGAAACAUAGCCGUUUGGAGGCUCUGCUGUCACUAUUAGGAGAAAGAAACAAAGCAGGCAUGGGAGAAAGCAGGAGGAGGUACCAGGGAGAUGCUACCGCUCCCCCUGGACCUGCUGUGCCUCUCAGCCCUUUGCGUUUAUCUGCCCCAGCCCUGGCUUGCUGGUGCUCAGCCCCCCUGCUCCCCGACAUGGGGCUGCACGCCCCGCUCGCCUCCUGGGAAGUUCAGACCCAGGAUGUGAGGCAUGACGGUGAGACAGCAAAUACCUGCCGGCUCCUCGGCUCUGUUUUGAUGCCCUUUGCUCUGCCUUGCUCCAGCACUCGUGCUGCCUCCCGCCGCACCCGGGCAGAUGCGACACAUGGGGUUUGCUGCCCCGUGCAGAACGAGGGCACCGCAGCCCAAGCGGGCAGCACUGAACACCGAGAGCUUCCCUGCCCCGCAGAAAAAUCUCCUGUGGUUCAUUUUCCCUUAGCCAAGGAAUCAGCCUCCAAAAAAAAUGAUGGCAGUCCCAGAUAAUUAACCCAGUUCCUUUCUUCUCACUACCAAAAAUGCACCGUUCUCUGCAAGCAGCGGGUUGGCUGUUUUAAGUCUUUUUUCACCAUUUCACAGCCAAAACAUGAACAAUUACACAAGACCAGCAGCAGAGCUUAUCAGCCAUCGCCGUCUGUCUGCACAGAUCUGGAUGAACCGCGUUACAGGCAUGUCCCCACCAGCCUGGCUCCAACUGCCCCUGGUUUCUCCUCGGAGCUGCCACUUGCCUCAGUGUCCCCAGCAGAUCUUCCCAAGUAGGUGCCUGGUGGGAAACACAGGACCUCUCAACCUCCCUGCCUGGUGACCAGUGAUGGAGAUGACCUGGGAGAUGUUGGGGAUCUGAACCACAUGGCAUCGAUGUGACCGCACGUACCCGCUAACAGGAGCCAGGCGCAGGUACCAGCCCAGCUCAGCCCCUCGGGCUCCCUUCACUCCUCUGCAUCUGGAGGGGCUUCUCCAUCCCUGCCCAGUGCGGCAGCACCCAAGCAAAGGAUCUGACUUCAAAGCUUUUUUUCUUCCUUUUUAAUUGGGAGACCAGAUGAUUUAUUUCUUUUUAACAAAAAAUGUUGUUAUUGUGGAAAAUAUCUGCUCUCCACAGAAAAUGCCUUGCGUUCUCUGUACACAUUGUGGCCCAUACCAGAAAACAUCUGAUGUACUUCCAAAACCGCUGGGGCAUUUCUUUUCCUAUUAGAGUGGAAAUUUUCUUCAGGAAACAAGUUCUACCUAGUUUGCACUGACAUUUGCUGUGGCAGAAAGCAAGCAGCCCUGUCCCGACGCCACCCUUCCACCUCUGGGAUGUGGCAUCAUAGGGGCACCCUGGCAUGACCAGGCACCCAAACCUGCAGCACAAACCCUGGGUUUGACCCAAGCCUUGACUCAAGCCCCAUGGACCACUGAGCACCAACCACCAGCACACACGUGGGCUGGCCCAAGGGGGAACCGUGGCUUCUCGCGGCAAGAUGAUAUCUGUUUGAGAAACACAGAGGAAAAUCCAUUCCUUUAGUCCUAUCACCAGCUCCCUGGCGCCACGCGAGAGCCGAGAGGAGCGCAGCGUGCCCACCAGGCUCCCAGGGUCGCGCUGGCCCAAGGGUAGUUACGGAGAUGCCUUUUUCUGCCCUGCCGUGUGAGCUGCCCAGUACUGCGGCACUUCUUCUCUUUGUCCCAGGUCGGAAGAAAAGUCUGAAAGAUAAAUUUACUGUGGAAUAGCAACGUUUGCCUAUUAUAUCUGGUAAAGUGACCUGAUUUUAUCACCAUAUCUUCUGCCCAUAUUGCUGGCGUUUCACAAUGUGAAGCAUCAACAGCGCCCAAGGCAAACAUCUAAUAUAUUUAACAUUAGCCACUACGGCUGUACAACAUCAACGCUAAUUAAAAGUUUAGAAAGCUAAGUCAAAACCAAACGCUGCCAUUUCAAUUUAGCAUUUUCCAUGAUUAUUUUAUAGAAAUAAAAAAAAAAGAGAGAGAGAAAAACCACGAAAAAACCCUGCAAAUUUUACUCAUGUCUUUAAAUUCAUCUGUGAUUAGCACAGGUGUUAGGAUGGUGAUUACAGCAAGUCUACUCAUCGGUUUUCCUGCUGUGUGCACAGCACAAGGUAGGAAGUACGUGGGGAUGGCCGUUACGGUCCCUCCACAACAGCUCUGGCUGGGUUUGAGUCUGACAGCCCGGGACUUAAACUCUGCCCUGCUCGGGAGGAGCUGCACCCCUUCCAGCUGCGGACUAUUCCUUAACGCUGUCCCCCCCAGCAAAGCUUCCAGGGACAGUAAAGAAAAUUGCCUGUGCCUUCCCACCUGCAACACACCUUGUUUACUAACCGCUCCUCAUCAAGUGUUUAUAGCGUCAAAACCAUGGUGGCUCACCUCGCAUGCCGGAGAGCCCGAGGGCUCAUCAGGCAAGGGCUGGCUUUGCCGGCGACGAGCCCAGUGACGAUGCUGCAGUGCCGUGCGGCGCAGCCAGCCAGGACACAGCCAUACUCUGAAUUUCUUUCUUUCUUUUUUUUUUUUUUUUUUUCCAAGCAGUCUUCUGAGAAAACAUCUGCUGUGCCCCAAGCCUGCACCGGAGCUGAAGAUCAAAAUAAAGGACUUUUGUCUUUUUAUUAAGCAUUUUAGCAAACGUGACUAUUACAUUCAUAUUAUAUUUCCCUGUUUUGUACAAACACGUUUAAGUCAGCACUAAGAGGAUUACGUUU